CAUGGAGGGUUUGACUGUGGCCCAGGACUAACGCUGGCGGCGUGUCUUAGACAUGCAAGUCGUGCGGGCUGGAUAAUGGUAGCAAUACCAUUAUCCAGUUUAGCGGCGAACGGGUGAGUAAUACAAGAGUAACCUGCCCUUGGGAGGGGGAUAACGGGUCGAAAGGCCCGCUAAUACCCCAUAUAAUCCCUGAGGCGCAUGCCUUGGGGAUGAAAGGUGGCCUCUGGUUUUCCAUGCUACCGCCCAAGGAGGGGCUCUUGGCCUAUCAGGUAGUUGGUGGGGUAACGGCCCACCAAGCCGAUGACGGGUAGCCGGCGUGAGAGCGUGACCGGCCACACGGGGACUGAGACACGGCCCCGACUCCUACGGGAGGCAGCAGUCUAGAAAAUUGGGCAAUGGGCGAAAGCCUGACCCAGCGACGCCGCGUGGGGGAUGAAGGCCUUCGGGUCGUAAACCCCUGUCGUGAGGGACGAUGUCCCUUUGGGCGAAUAGUCCAAAGGGAUGACGGUACCUCAGGAGGAAGCCCCGGCUAACUACGUGCCAGCAGCCGCGGUAAAACGUAGGGGGCAAGCGUUGUCCGGAAUCACUGGGUGUAAAGGGUGUGUAGGCGGGUCCAAAAGUUGGCUGUGAAAGCCCUCGGCUCAACCGAGGAGUUGCAGCCAAUACUUUGGACCUAGGGGACGGGAGAGGCCAGCGGAACUCCCGGUGUAGCGGUAAAAUGCGUGGAUAUCGGGAGGAACGCCGAUGGCGAAGGCAGCUGGCUGGAACGUUCCCGACGCUGAAACACGAAAGCUGGGGGAGCAAACAGGAUUAGAUACCCUGGUAGUCCCAGCCCUAAACGAUGUGGACUAGGCGUUGGGGGCAACCCCAGUGCCGAAGCUAACGCGUUAAGUCCACCACCUGGGGACUACGGCCGCAAGGCUAAAACUCAAACAGAUUGGCGGGGGCCCGCACAAGCGGUGGAUGAUGUGGUUUAAUUCGAUGCUACGCGAAAAACCUUACCUGGGCUUGACAUGCGGGUAGUAGGAGCCCGAAAGGGUGACGAGCGGGAAUUUUUCCCGCAGCCCGCACAGGUGCUGCAUGGCUGUCGUCAGCUCGUGCCGUGAGGUGUAUGGUUAAGUCCUGCAACGAGCGCAACCCCUGCCCUUAGUUGCCACCCUGUCCGAUAAGGACAGGAGCACUCUAAGGGGACUGCCCGGGUUAACCGGGAGGAAGGUGGGGAUGACGUCAAGUCAGCAUGGCCUUUAUGCCCAGGGCUACACACGUCAUACAGUGCCCGCUACAACGGGACGCGAACCCGCGAGGGGGAGCAAAUCCCUAAAAAGCGGGCAUGGUUCGGAUCGCAGGCUGCAACCCGCCUGCGUGAAGAUGGAAUCGCUAGUAAUCGCGGAUCAGCAUGCCGCGGUGAAUACGUUCCCGGGCCUUGCACACACCGCCCGUCACGCCAUGGGAGUCCGCAAUGCCCGAAGUCCCUAAGGUAACAUUAGGGACGAAGGCAGGGCGGAUGACUGGGGCGAAGUCGUAACAAGGUAGCCGUACGGGAACGUGCGGCUGGAUCACCUCCUUU
rnacentral:rRNA from 1 species